GUAGUUUUUUUAGUUUGCUUUUUUGAGUAGGAAUCUCAUUCUGUCACCCAGGCUGGAGUGCAAUGGCACACUCA
rnacentral:snoRNA from 1 species